GGCAGUUUAGUUUAAUGGUAAAACACUUGAUGCGUAAUCACAGAGAAGUGAGUUCGAGUCUCAUGGCUGGCCA
rnacentral:tRNA from 1 species